rnacentral:misc_RNA from 1 species
UCUGGCUUAUAGCCCAGCGGUCUCACUAGAGUACCCAACUGAAUGAUGGCAACUAGUGACGAGGGUUGCGCUCGUUGCGGGACUUAACCCAACAUCUCACAACACGAGCUGACGACAGCCAUGCAGCACCUGUCACCGCGUCCCCGAAGGGAACCCCGACUUUCAUCGGGUAGCGCGGGAUGUCAAGCCUAGGUAAGGUUCUUCGCGUAGCAUCGAAUUAAACCACAUGCUCCACCGCUUGUGCGGGCCCCCGUCAAUUCCUUUGAGUUUUAAUCUUGCGACCGUACUUCCCAGGCGGAGUACUUAAUGCGUUGGCUUCGUCACCGAGACAAUUAGGUAUCCCGACAACUAGUACUCAUAGUUUAGGGCGUGGACUAC